AUUCUUACCCCAUCUGCUGUUCGCCUACAGAGAGGUACCUCAAGAGUCCACUGGGUUUUCCCCCUUUGAAUAAUUUUUGGGGAGAAGGGUGAGAGUACCCCUAGACUUAAUUAGAGAGCAUUGGGAAGGGGAAAGCAGUGCAGAUGGGAUACUCAGCACUUUACAGGUUACAUUACAGUAGAGGGAGGUAGUGCAGUAGGUAUACAGU